rnacentral:rRNA from 1 species
AYAGGCUGCACYAUCGACCGAUCCAGAUGUCCUCGGAUGGAUUUGAGUAAGAGCAUAGCUGUUGGGACCCGAAAGAUGGUGAACUAUGCCUGRAYAGGGUGAAGCCAGAGGAAACUCUGGUGGAGGCUCGYAGCCGUUCUGACGUGCAAAUCGAUCGUCAGAUYUGGGUAUAGGGGCGAAAGACUAAUCGAA